rnacentral:rRNA from 1 species
UACGUAGGGGGCAAGCGUUGUCCGGAAUCAUUGGGCGUAAAGCGCGUGUAGGCGGUUCGGUAAGUCUGCUGUGAAAGUCCAGGGCUCAACCCUGGGAUGCCGGUGGAUACUGUCGGGCUAGAGUACGGAAGAGGCGAGUGGAAUUCCCGGUGUAGCGGUGAAAUGCGCAGAUAUCGGGAGGAACACCAAUUGCGAAGGCAGCUCGCUGGGACGGUAUUGACGCUAAGGCGCGAAAGCGUGGGGAGCAAACAGG